rnacentral:tRNA from 1 species
GGUUCCAUAGUGUAGCAGUUAGCAUGUCUGCUUUACAAGCAGAAAGUCCUGGGUUUGUGCCCCAGUGGAGCCA